rnacentral:rRNA from 1 species
CCUUUGGAGGGUUUGAUCCUGGCUCAGAGUGAACGCUGGCGGCGUGGAUAAGGCAUGCAAGUCGAGCGAUCUUCUUUUUUGCCUCUUGUGGGGUAACUCAUAGGAGGGGAAAGAGAAGAUAGCGGCAAACGGGUGAGUAAUGCGUGGGUAACAUACCUUAAGGUGGAGGAUAGCUUCGAGAAAUCGGAGGUAAUACUCCAUACAUUCCUAAGACUGGAAUGUCUUGGGAAGAAAGGUGGUUAAGGCUUUGCAAACUGUCGCCUUAAGAGUGGCCCGCGUCCUAUCAGGUAGUUGGUAGGGUAAUGGCCUACCAAGCCAAUGACGGGUAGCUGGCAUUAGCGUGUGGUCAGCCACACCGGGACUGAGACACUGCCCGGACUCCUACGGGAGGCUGCAGUCGAGAAUCUUUCUCAAUGGGCGAAAGCCUGAAGAUGCGACGCCGCGUGAGGGAUGAAGGCCUUCGGGUUGUAAACCUCUUUUCCUGGGGAAGAAGGCUCCUCUUUUUAAUAGAAGGAGGAGAUUGACGGUACCUAGGGAAUAAGCCACGGCUAACUCCGUGCCAGCAGCCGCGGUAAUACGGAGGUGGCAAGCGUUACUCGGUUUGACUGGGUGUAAAGGGUCUGUAGGCGGCCAAACAAGUGAAAGGUGAAAGCCCUUAGCUUAACUAAGGAAUUGCCUUUCAAACUGUUUGGCUUGAGGCAGAAAGAGGAGAGCGGAACUGCCAGUGUAAGGGUGAAAUCUGUGGAUAUUGGCAGGAACGCCCGUGGCGAAGGCGGCUCUCUGGUUCUGUUCUGACGCUGAGAGACGAAAGCUAGGGGAGCAAACAGGAUUAGAUACCCUGGUAGUCCUAGCCGUAAACGAUCCCUGCUAGGUGCUCGUCUAUUUAGAUGGGUGCCGAAGUUAACACGUUAAGCAGGGCACCUGGGGACUACGGCCGCAAGGCUAAAACUCAAAGGAAUUGACGGGGGCCCGCACAAGCGGUGGAACACGUGGUUUAAUUCGAUGCUACGCGAGGAACCUUAGUGUUCCCUUAAGUGGGAGAACGAGCGCAACCCUCGCCCUUAAUUGCUACUCAGUUCUUUUCUGAAAGAGCUGAGGCACUUUAAGGGGACUGCCUACGUUAAGUAGGAGGAAGGUGGGGAUGACGUCAAGUCCGCAUGGCCCUUAUGCCCUGGGCGACACACGUGUUACAAUGGUGCGUACAAUGGGAGGCGAAGUCGUAAGACGGAGCAAAUCCUUCAAAGCGCGCCCCAGUUCGGAUCGAGGGCUGCAAUUCGCCCUCGUGAAGCCGGAAUCGCUAGUAAUGGCGCAUCAGAACGGCGCCGUGAAUACGUUCCCGGGCCUUGUACACACCGCCCGUCAAGCGCUGAAAGUGGAGAACGCCCGAAGUAUGACAGAAGUCGUAUCACGGUGGAAUCCAUGAUUGGCGCUAAGUCGUAACAAGGUAGCCGUACGGGAACGUGCGGCUGGAUCACCUCCUUU